UACGUAGGUGGCAAGCGUUAUCCGGAAUUAUUGGGCGUAAAGCGCGCGCAGGCGGUUUCUUAAGUCUGAUGUGAAAGCCCACGGCUCAACCGUGGAGGGUCAUUGGAAACUGGGGGGACUUGAGUGCAGGAGAGAAGAGUGGAAUUCCACGUGUAGCGGUGAAAUGCGUAGAGAUGUGGAGGAACACCAGUGGCGAAGGCGACUCUUUGGCCUGUAACUGACGCUGAGGCGCGAAAGCGUGGGGAGCAAACAGG
rnacentral:rRNA from 1 species